GCGAAUAUAGCGUAGUGGUAACGUGUUGGGCUUCACGCAGGCAUGCUUUUAGCGUCGUGAGUUCGAUUCCCGCUGUCGGCG
rnacentral:tRNA from 1 species